rnacentral:rRNA from 1 species
AUUGAACGCUGGCGGCAGGCUUAACGCAUGCAAGUCGAGCGGGGGCUUCGGUCCUAGCGGCGAACGGGUGAGGAAUGCCUGGGAAUCUGCCUGGUAGUGGGGGAUAACGAUUCGAAAGGGUCGCUAAUACCGCAUACGUCCUACGGGAGAAAGCAGGGGACCUUCGGGCCUUGCGCUAUCAGAUGAGCCCAGGUCGGAUUAGCUAGUAGGUGAGGUAAAGGCUCACCUAGGCGACGAUCCGUAGCUGGUCUGAGAGGAUGAUCAGCCACACUGGAACUGAGACACGGUCCAGACUCCUACGGGAGGCAGCAGUGGGGAAUAUUGGACAAUGGGCGAAAGCCUGAUCCAGCCAUGCCGCGUGUGUGAAGAAGGCCUUCGGGUUGUAAAGCACUUAAGUCGGGGAGGAAAGGGCGUUCUGGCUAAUAUCCAGGAGCAUUGACGUUACCCGCAGAAUAAGCACCGGCUAACUCUGUGCCAGCA